UACGUAGGGUGCAAGCGUUGUCCGGAUUUAUUGGGCGUAAAGAGCUCGUAGGCGGUUUGUCGUGUCGGAUGUGAAAACCCAGGGCUCAACCCUGGGCCUGCAUUCGACACGGGCAGACUAGAGUAUGGCAGGGGAGACUGGAAUUCCUGGUGUAGCGGUGAAAUGCGCAGAUAUCAGGAGGAACACCGGUGGCGAAGGCGGGUCUCUGGGCCAAAACUGACGCUGAGGAGCGAAAGCGUGGGGAGCGAACAGG
rnacentral:rRNA from 1 species